CCUACGGGUGGCAGCAGUCGAGAAUCAUUCACAAUGGGGGAAACCCUGAUGGUGCGACGCCGCGUGGGGGAAUGAAGGUCUUCGGAUUGUAAACCCCUGUCAUGUGGGAGCAAAUUAAAAAGAUAGUACCACAAGAGGAAGAGACGGCUAACGCGGGGCGAGCAGCCGCGGUAAUACAGAGGUAUCAAGCGUUGUUCGGAAUCACUGGGCGUAAAGCGAGCGUAGGUGGUUUCGUAAGUCGUGUGUGAAAGGCGCGGGCUCAACCCGCGGACGACAAAUGAAACUGGGAGACUAGAGGAAUGUAGGGGGAACCGGAAUUCUCGGGGUAGGAGUGAAAUGCGUAGAUAUCGAGAGGAACACUCGUGGCGAAGGCGGGUUCCUGGACAUUAACUGACGCUGAGGCACGAAGGCCAGGGGAGCGAAAGGGAUUAGAUACCCCUGUAGUC
rnacentral:rRNA from 1 species